rnacentral:rRNA from 1 species
GACGAACGCUGGCGGCGUGCUUAACACAUGCAAGUCGAACGGAAAGGCCCUGCUUUUGUGGGGUGCUCGAGUGGCGAACGGGUGAGUAACACGUGAGUAACCUGCCCUUGACUUUGGGAUAACUUCAGGAAACUGGGGCUAAUACCGGAUAGGACCACGCGCUUCAUGGUGUGUGGUGGAAAGCUUUUGCGGUGGGGGAUGGGCCCGCGGCCUAUCAGCUUGUUGGUGGGGUAAUGGCCUACCAAGGCGACGACGGGUAGCCGGCCUGAGAGGGUGACCGGCCACACUGGGACUGAGAUACGGCCCAGACUCCUACGGGAGGCAGCAGUGGGGAAUAUUGCACAAUGGGCGCAAGCCUGAUGCAGCGACGCCGCGUGAGGGAUGACGGCCUUCGGGUUGUAAACCUCUUUCAAUAGGGACGAAGCGCAAGUGACGGUACCUAUAGAAGAAGCACCGGCCAACUACGUG